UACGGGGGGGGCAAGCGUUGUUCGGAAUUAUUGGGCGUAAAGGGCUCGUAGGCGGUCCGUCACGUCGGGAGUGAAAACUCGGGGCUCAACCCCGAGCCUGCUUCCGAUACGGGCGGACUAGAGGUAGGUAGGGGGAGAACGGAAUUCCUGGUGUAGCGGUGGAAUGCGCAGAUAUCAGGAGGAACACCGGUGGCGAAGGCGGUUCUCUGGGCCUUACCUGACGCUGAGGAGCGAAAGCGUGGGGAGCGAACAGG
rnacentral:rRNA from 1 species